GAUGUCUUCGUCUUCAGGUGGAUGUCUUAUCUCCAGUAGAGGACCUUUCUUAUGUAAUCAGUGUUUUCAUUCAGCAGCUGUUUCAGCUGAUUGCGUGGGGGAAGAAAAAGCCAUUUGGAGCUGUGCUGCUCGGAGCGGCCCGUGAAUGGAUUCUCUCCACCGCCAAGAGCGCUAACAGGCCCAGAGCCCAGCGAAGCCCUUUACAUUGAAAAACUUCACACUAGACGUCCAGUUUAUCUCGUCUGUUGACCAUGCCUGUUUCCACACUCACAGUUCAAUCAAGAUAUACAUUGUUUAUUAUUCCAGUGAUGGUGUCAAGUUGUCCAGGGCGAAUCCAUUUAUUGUAGAGAACUAACAAUGGCAAGUUUGCUGUUUUCAUGUGCCUUUGACAAUGUUAACAUAUUAAAAUACGUAAUAAAAUAAUAUUAA